UCAGGGACCCACGCCGCGGUGUCCUCCGCCCCCUGAGGCGGCGGGACGUGAGCAGGGCAGCGCCACGGGCUCCGCUGUCCCUGCGCGCCCGCGGUAACCCCCUACGGAGGGGGGGGGGCAUGUGGAGCUGCCCGCCCCCGAGCUGGGGCCCUGUGGUUGGGGUUUCUGUUUAGCUCGAUGGGCUGCGGUGCGUCGCCGCAGAAAGCGCGGGGUCCCGCCGCGCAGGGCGGGCACCUCUGUCAGGGGGCAGGGAGAGCUGUGGGGCCUCGCCGCCCACACUGCUCCUACUCCUCCUGCUGCUCCUUCACCCCCUCAGGGCCGGGGCGCAGCGUGCGGCGCAAAUCGGGAAGGCUCUGUGGGCAGGGAGGCAACAUAUGCAAUAGUAGUUGAGUAAGAAGAAGAAGGAAAAAUAACAUCUGUUAUUUACCUUCUGCAAAUGGCUGUGUUUUGCCUAGACGUGUGAGCUCUCUCUAAAGCACUUAGGUCAUCAGAUAUUUACACGUUAUAUACUAAACUGGACAUCAUCAACCCCUCGAGAGACUUCUUCAUUAACUCAUCAUAUGACAUCAUGAAGUCCUAAAACUGAUGGUUGGGAUAUUUUGGGGAUAGGGCAUCAGGGUGAUUGUUGCUCCUUUGUAAAUAAUUGCUUACUCACUACUGCUGUUCUACUUUAGAACAGGAAAGACUGGUAACAUCACUUUAUCUCCUUCCUUUUUUAUAUAUCUUGUACUAAAACGGUUGGGAUACUUUUACAGAUGAUUAAACCAUUUUAUCCUUUGUUGGGCCCAAUAUAUCCUCUGGAAAUGCUAGGAGAGAGAAACUUAAUAAAAUCUGUGGAACUACAAGUCUAAGCAAAAGUAUGCACAUAGACAUUCAAUAUUUUUGUUUCAGGAAGGUUAUUUCUCACAAAGAACUGUUCUUGCCAUCUGCCUACUUUUCUCCCAGGAUUGUUUGCGAUUAUUCUUUGAUUGCCUCUUCAGAUGGAAUAUGUUUCAUUAUUUCAGAUCCUUUGAGGAAAUUUUGUUGUCAGAAUGGAAUGCAUUUCAGUUUAUAUCCUGAAGUGUCUGAGUUUAAUGGUAUUGGUUAAAUAAUACUAGUUUAAUAAAUAAACUUAGGAAUUUG